UAAAAAAAAAAUUUCUAAAAUAUAUUUUAAUUGGGGAGUUAAAGUAUUUUUAUAGAAAAAAUAAAAAUUUUUAUAGGGAAUUAUAUGUAAUGUAAAUGAAUUUUGAAAUAAAAUGAAAAUAAAUUUAUAGAAAAGUAAUUUUUAUUUAAUGUAUCUUGUGUAUCAGAGUUUAUUAAAAAAUUUUUUAAUUUUAAAAUUUCUCGAAUUAAAAAGAGUUAAUUAAUUAUAAAAAUUAUUGUAGUAUAAAUAUUUUAUAUAGUUAGUUAGAAAUGAAACGUUAUUCGUUUUUUAAGAUAUCUAGUUUUUUUAGAAAAAAAUUUAAUUUUAAAAUUAUUAAUUAAAAAUAAAAUUAAUUUUCUAAUUAAAUUAAUUUUAUUUAAUAAUUUAAAUAUUUUGAGGGAUAAGCUUUAAAAUAAAUUUUUAUAUUAAAAAAUUUAUUUUUUAAAAUUUUUAAAAUUUAAAUUGUUUAAAAAAUUUAAUUUAUUAUAAAUAAUUUUAAUUAUAAAAAAAAAUUUAAUAUUAAUAAUUAAAUUUUUAUAAAAAAAUUAUUUUUAAUAAUAAAAAUUAAGAUAUAAUGAUAAAAUUAGUAUAAUAUGUAAAAUAAAAAUUUUUAUUUUUUUUUAUAAAUUAAUAAAAAGAAUUCGGCAAAAUUUUAUAUUCACCUGUUUAUCAAAAACAUGUCUUUUUGUUAAUAAUUUAAAGUCUAAUCUGCCCACUGAUUUUAAAUUAAAGGGCUGCAGUAAUUUGACUGUACAAAGGUAGCAUAAUCAAUAGUCUCUUAAUUAGUGACUUGUAUGAAUGAUUUGAUGAGAUAUAAACUGUUUCUUAUUAAAUAUAUUGAAUUUAAUUUUUUAAUUAAAAAGUUAAAAUUUCAUUAAAAGACGAGAAGACCCUAUAGAGUUUUAUAAUAAUAAAUUUAUUUAUUUAUUUUUUAGAUUAAAAAUUUAAAUAAUUUAUUAUUAUUAUGUUGGGGUGAUAGAAAAAUUUAUUUAACUUUUUUUUUUAUUUAAACAUAAAUAAAUGAUUUAAUUGAUCCAAAAUUUUUGAUUAUAAGAAAAAAUUACCUUAGGGAUAACAGCGUAAUUUUUUUUUUUAGUUCAAAUAAAAAAAAAAGUUUGCGACCUCGAUGUUGGAUUAAGAUAAAAUUUAAAUGCAAAAGUUUAAAAUUUUGAUCUGUUCGAUCAUUAAAAUCUUACAUGAUCUGAGUUCAAACCGGUGUAAGCCAGGUUGGUUUCUAUCUUUAAUAAAAUAAAAUAUUAUAGUACGAAAGGAUUUAAUAUUUAAAAUAAUUUUAUUAUUAGUUUGAAUUUUAUUAA
rnacentral:rRNA from 1 species